ensembl:lncRNA
GCCAGUGCCACUCCUUGGCAAUNCUAUUCCUUUUCUAUCAUCAAUCUCACAUAUGAUUGGAGCCAACCUAGAUCUAUAUACCAUACAAUUAUUUCCUUUCAACAAGGAAGUGGGCAGCACAUUUUUGCUGCCACAGCCAAGCUGCUUAAAUGAAUGAUGUCCCAACACACGCAUUUGGAAUCCAGAUAAUUGUGGAGAGGAGAUGAAAACAGUAUUUUGAUGUGUUCUUCCUUUGCUGCGUCUGUAGGUGCCCCUCCUACCGAAGCCAGUGGGAAGACUAUUGGUACAUGGGCCCCAAGUGUGAGUCUCUCUGGAGUACUGCAGACCUGAUUGUAGUAGCUACUCUCCCUGCCCUCGCCUUGGCUGCAAUAGCUGCUGUUACAGUGCAGUGCAUCGGCUCUUGUAAGAACAAGCCAAAGAANAGGGUGAAACACAGCAGGUGAGUCCUUCCUGUUCUAAGGAACCAAGUGCAAAAACACCCCUAGUGACCACAAGGGCAUACCUAUGCUGUUUUCUUGACAACAGUAAAGAAGAGGUUUGCCACUCGCUUCUUCCAGGGCAGUGNAGGAACUGAAUCUGGGGCUUUCUGCAUGCAACGCGGACACACUACCACUGAGAUAUGUUGUACGCUCAAGUGGGCGCGUCUUCCUUUCGAAGUGUACAAAUGGUGAUUCUGAAAAAGAGUGACAUGUUUUUCACAUAAUAUGCUUUCAGCCCCAGCGCAAGACAACCAAGACCUCCAGGACCUUUAAACUCAAGUCACAAUCCUUACCUGGCUAAUAAGGAUGAUGGAGCACAAGAGACGAUCUUCCCCAGACUGACUCUUCAGAGCCAAUUUCAAGGAAGCUCCUUCGAACAAGUGAACCCAGAGCAUGUUGGAGGUUUUAGUGCCCUACACCCACCAUUGAGAAGACUCAUUCCAAAAGAAACUGGACCCUUGACGAAUUGGUCUUCAGGAGGCAAUCAGAACGGUCCGUGGGAACCUGAGAUGCCUAAUAAUGUUUAUGAAGAAAACCCAUUUUCAGAUAUACCCAUGCGACAGUUCAAUACACCUGAUGCCUCAGUGUUCCCUCAGCCUGACUAUCAUCAGCAUGCCCCGAAUUAUUUGAAUGCUCAAAGAGGAAGCAGACCAUACGGGAUUGGGCGUGCUCAGAACAUACGCACUUAGAAGCUUUUUUAAAGCCAAGCUGGAAAAUACUGUGGAAUGGUAGCAUUUCAGCCUUAUUCCUUCACUCUGUUAAAAUUUAGCUUGUAAAGUGCUUCUCAACAGAUGAAUACCUUUGUGGCAAGUGCGUCCCCAGCCAUAUCAAGAAAUUUGAGGUGACAAUCUUCCUUACUUAGCAGUAGAAUCUACCUCCAGCCAAAGCCUCUGAAGUUCAUCAAGAUCAGCGUUUAUCAACUUACCGGUAGUUCCAGUCAUCUGAAGUUACUUUCUGUGCUGGUCUCUGCUCCAACCUGCCUUUCUUUCAUGCAGAAGGAGGUAAUGAGUACAGGCUUAAUAGAUAUAGGAUUGACGCAUUCAUGGUUUCAUGGCGCAGGUUUGCAGCAGGUUUGCAGCAGGGCAAAACUAGCAAAUAUUAAUCUUGCCACUUAAAGAAAACAAUAUGGCUUUCAGGGAAGAAGUUUUCUAAAAGAUGCACAUAGAGGAUCUCUUGGGCAUUUUUUCCCUGUUAACUUUAUCUCUGAACAAAAUUCAGUCCUGCUUUGAUUUUUCUGACUAACAAAAUUCGUUUUUGAGUUCAUCACUGUAAUCUUCCUGGAAGAAGGCAAUGGCAAACCACUUCUGUAUUUUUGCCAAGAAAACUGCUUGAUUAUGUCCAUGUAGUCAUCACAUAUUAAGCUCAAUGCGGGUGUCUUUACCUUUAAGUAACGGAUACUAUGAAUUCUAAUUAUUAAAAACUUUCAAAAGAUCAAAUACUAAGUAUUAACUGAAGCAACUGUUUGCCUUUAAGUGUCCUUUAUGAAACUUAAUAGUUUUGUCUAGUGUGA